rnacentral:rRNA from 1 species
AACACAUGCAAGUCGAGCGGAUGAAGGGAGCUUGCUCCUGGAUUCAGCGGCGGACGGGUGAGUAAUGCCUAGGAAUCUGCCUGGUAGUGGGGGAUAACGUUCCGAAAGGAACGCUAAUACCGCGUACGUCCUACGGGAGAAAGCAGGGGACCUUCGGGCCUUGCGCUAUCAGAUGAGCCUAGGUCGGAUUAGCUAGUUGGUGAGGUAAUGGCUCACCAAGGCGACGAUCCGUAACUGGUCUGAGAGGAUGAUCAGUCACACUGGAACUGAGACACGGUCCAGACUCCUACGGGAGGCAGCAGUGGGGAAUAUUGGACAAUGGGCGAAAGCCUGAUCCAGCCAUGCCGCGUGUGUGAAGAAGGUCUUCGGAUUGUAAAGCACUUUAAGUUGGGAGGAAGGGCUGUAGGCUAAUAUCCUGCAGUUUUGACGUUACCAACAGAAUAAGCACCGGCUAACUUCGUGCCAGCAGCCGCGGUAAUACGAAGGGUGCAAGCGUUAAUCGGAAUUACUGGGCGUAAAGCCCGCGUAGGUGGUUCGUUAAGUUGGAUGUGAAAGCCCCGGGCUCAACCUGGGAACUGCAUCCAAAACUGGCGAGCUAGAGUACGGUAGAGGG